GUGGUUUCACCAUUAUUUAAUAUGGUUGUGUCAUUAGUCAAUGUGGUUUUAACAUUACUUGAUGUGUAUGUGACUUAACGUAAUGUAAUUGUUUCAUUACAUGAUGUGAUUUUGUUAUUUCGUAAUGAUGAUUUGUCUAUUCUUUAUAUGGUUUUAACAUUACGUAAUGAUGUUUCAAAAUUUGACCAUUUUACACUACUUGAUGUGUUUGUUUCAUUAUUUGAU
rnacentral:lncRNA from 1 species